GUAAGUAGCGGCGAGCGAACGCGGAUUAGCCCAAACCAAUAAAGUUUUCUUUAUUGGGGUUGUGGACAUAUCAUAACGAAGAGGUAUCGUAAUUGAAGAGGUUUGGAAAGACCCACCACAGAAGGUAAUAGUCCUGUAUGUUAAACGAGAAGACUUCAGAUAUGAUCCAGAGUACCACGGGACACGUGAAACCCUGUGGGAAGCAGGAGGGACCACCCUCCAAGGCUAAAUACUACCUAGUGACCGAUAGCGUAUAGUACCGUGAGGGAAAGGUGAAAAGAACCCCGGGAGGGGAGUGAAAUAGAACCUGAAACCCUGCACUUACAAGCUGUGGAAGCACAUUUCUUGUGUGACCGCGUACUUUUUGUAGAACGGGCCAACGAGUUACGUUAAGUAGCAAGGUUAAGCACUUAAGGUGCGGAGCCGUAGCGAAAGCGAGUUUUAACUGAGCGUUCAGUUACUUGACGUAGACCCGAAACCGGGCGACCUACCCAUGAGCAGGAUGAAGCGAAAGUAAAAUUUCGUGGAGGUCCGAACCCACGAGCGUUGAAAAGCUCGGGGAUGACUUGUGGGUAGCGGUGAAAUUCCAAUCGAGCCCGGAGAUAGCUGGUUCUCCCCGAAAUAGCUUUAGGGCUAGCCUCAAGGUGAGAGAUACGGAGGUAGAGCACUGAAUGUCCUAGGGGGUAUUGCACCUACCGAAGACUAUCAAACUCCGAAUGCCGUCAUCUUAUACUUGGGAGUCAGACUGUGGGUGAUAAGAUUCAUAGUCGAAAGGGCAACAGCCCAGAUCGUCAGCUAAGGUCCCUAAAUGUAAGUUAAGUGGUAAAGGAUGUGGGAUUGCACAGACAACCAGGAUGUUGGCUUAGAAGCAGCCACUCAUUCAAAGAGUGCGUAAUAGCUCACUGGUCGAGUGAUCCUGCGCCGAAGAUUUCCGGGGCUAAAACUUACUACCGAAGCUACGGCAUCAGUAAUGAUGGGUAGGGGAGCUUCCCAUACGGGUUGAAGCAUGACCGUAAGGACAUGUGGACAGUAUGGGAGUGAGAAUGUUGGCAUGAGUAGCGAGAUGUGGGUGAGAAUCCCACAGGCCGUAAACCCAAGGUUUCCAGGGGAAGGUUCGUCCGCCCUGGGUUAGUCGGGACCUAAGCUGAGGCCGAAAGGCGUAGGUGAUGGACAACAGGUUGAUAUUCCUGUACUACCGAUAACCGUUUGAGAGAAGGGAUGACACAGUAGGAUAAGCUAAGCACACUGUUGGUUAUGUGUGCCCAAGCAUUGAGGCAGUCAAAGUAGGCAAAUCCGCUUUGAUAAUGCUGGGAUGUGAUGGGGAGCGAAAUUUAGUAGCGAAGUAGCUGAUUUCACACUGUCAAGAAAAGUCUCUAUCGAGGUUAAAGGUACCCGUACCGCAAACCGACACAGGUGGGUGAGGAGAGUAUCCUAAGGCCAGCGAGAGAACUGUUGUUAAGGAACUCGGCAAAAUGACCCCGUAACUUAGGGAUAAGGGGUGCCACCAUCAGGUGGCCGCAGAGAAUAGGCCCAAGCGACUGUUUACCAAAAACAUAGGUUUCUGCUAAGUCGCAAGACGAUGUAUAGGAGCUGACGCCUGCCCGGUGCUGGAAGGUUAAGGGGAUCUGUUAGAGCAAUCGAAGCAGUGAACUUAAGCCCCAGUAAACGGCGGCCGUAACUAUAACGGUCCUAAGGUAGCGAAAUUCCUUGUCGGGUAAGUUCCGACCCGCACGAAAGGCGUAACGAUUUGGGCACUGUCUCAACAACAGACUCGGUGAAAUUGUAAUUCCGGUGAAGAUGCCGGAUACCUGCGACAGGACGGAAAGACCCCAUGGAGCUUUACUGUAGCUUGACAUUGGGUCUUGGUACUACAUGUACAGGAUAGGUGGGAGGCUUUGAAACCAGGACGCCAGUUUUGGCGGAGCCAUCCUUGGGAUACCACCCUUGUAGUACUGGGACUCUAACCAUAGGCCAUGAAUCUGGUCUUGGGACACUGUCAGGUGGGCAGUUUGACUGGGGCGGUCGCCUCCCAAAAGGUAACGGAGGCGCUCAAAGGUUCUCUCAGUACGGUCGGAAAUCGUACGUAGAGUGUAAAGGCAAAAGAGAGCUUGAUUGCAAGACAUACAGGUCGAGCAAGGAUGAAAAUCGGACUUAGUGAUCCGGUGGUUCUGCGUGGAAGGGCCAUCGCUCAACGGAUAAAAGCUACCCUGGGGAUAACAGGCUUAUCUCCCCCAAGAGUCCACAUCGACGGGGAGGUUUGGCACCUCGAUGUCGGCUCAUCACAUCCUGGGGCUGUAGUAGGUCCCAAGGGUUGGGCUGUUCGCCCAUUAAAGUGGUACGCGAGCUGGGUUCAGAACGUCGUGAGACAGUUCGGUCCCUAUCCGUCGCAGGCGUAGGAAAUUUGAGAAGACCUGUCCUUAGUACGAGAGGACCGGGAUGGACGUACCUCUGGUGUACCAGUUGUCCUGCCAAGGGCAUGGCUGGGUAGCUAUGUACGGAAUGGAUAAGCGCUGAAAGCAUCUAAGCGCGAAGCCAACUUCAAGAUAAGAUUUCCCACCGCAAGGGUAAGACCCCAGAAAGACUAUCUGGUUGAUAGGUCGAAGGUGUAAGUGCAGCAAUGUAUUUAGCUUAUCGAUACUAAUAGGUCGAGGACUUGACCAA
rnacentral:rRNA from 1 species